UUUCUUAUAUAAAAUCCCGUCCACCAGCACGAGACUCCAGUGACGGCUUCAGCAACCUUGUGAACACAAGCUAGAGGAUCACUCGCAGUCACAGAAGUGCUAAAGCUCCACAAUGAACCUGAAAAUCGUAUUGUUGGUGGUGAUGGCGGUGCUGGGGACAGCGAUGGCCAGAGUGAUUAGCUUCAACAGACAGUUCCCUGGCCAGAGGAUAAGAGGUGUCACCAAUUACGGUACCCACUCCUUUGGCCCCAAUGGUUUCGACAGCAGACCUGUCGCCAGACUGGGAAGGCGAGGCUGAAAAGUGUUCACUCAAAGGACGCAACAAGCCACCCGGCACUCCCCCUACACCGUCUUGUUCCACACCACUGUAGCUUUAAGUGUCUCUCCUGCGUGUGUCACUUCAUACAGCCAGCAGGUGUUCGCGUGCUGAGUUACUAAUCCUUGACAUGUAAAUUUGAGGCUAUUUUGUCUCAAAACAGUACGUAUAGUCAUUUAAUGACUUUUAAAUACCUAAUGUUUACCGUUUUAAGGUAAAAUCAAAAGUAACUCCUUUAGUUGUCAGCUGCAACAGAACACAAAUCAUGUGCGUUUCGUUGAAGGUUUCUGUCACUUCUGCCUUCCUGCCUGUGGCGGGGCAAUUUUGCCAAGUGCGUGAGGCUCCUCACGGCACGCUGAGGACGAACUUUGUGACAGAAAUGUCCUUAUAAGUACAAGCAGUUGGUCGGGGUUCAUAUUCAUACCCAAGCCAGGGAUCAUGUUUUCAAGAUAAUUGUUUUGCAAGAGUGUUCCUGGCUAACUUACAACCUUUACGAGACACUUAGGAAAGAGUAAAAUUACAAUUUUCAUCAGGUGUAACCGCUAAAAUGCACACAGGACACUUCAGUCACCCGUAAAUGCUAUAAGUGCUACCCUGAGCCUCGCCUCCCACCACAUGCAGGAAUGUGUAGUUACUCUAGUACCUGACAAGUAUGUUUGCCAAUAUUGUCCCGAGUCACUUGUUGCCUUCAUUUAGCGACUCAAAUUUUUGCCUGUACAUUUCUUUCCUCCCGCGUGCUGUGACGUGCGAGAGUGUGCUAGUUGCCUUCAUGAAAGGAUGCAUUGUGUAAUUGUUGUGUUUACAGUGACAGGGAAGUCUUAUCGUACACAGAUACACAUGCUUAAUGUUUCAUUUGAUGGAACUCUUUAGUACUUUAAGUUUAAACAUAUUUGAUGUGAUAGGAACACUUGUGAUGUUCUUUAUAUUGUUAUUAUUGUUUUUUUGUUUUUGGGUGCAUAAGGAAAGCUUUGUGAUAAUCCAUUAUUUACUCAGAUUUUGUACUGCAUAAACUAUUAUGGGCAUUA